GGGCCUUGUGCAUUUGAGGCAAGCACUCUACCAACUGAGCUAUAUCCCCAGCCCCUCUGAAAACUUUCUUGCAAAUUCAACAUUUGCAUGUAACUCUAGGUUGUACACAGGCUGCCAUUAAAAAUUAGAGGAAAUUUUGAUAAAUGUUAUUACACAAGCUUGGCAAUUAUUUCACCUAUUUCACUUCUGAGAAUUUUAACUAAUUUUAAAAUUAAAUUUAAAAUUGUGUCCACCCUCCUCCUCAUUAAAUACUGUCCUUUAGAAAACCCAAAACCAAUAGAAAAAAAAUUUUCAAAGCUCAAAUUUCAAAUAGUAAUUAAUUAGGAAGUCAGCCUUUAAAUACGUAUAGAUUUAUCACAAAUGUGGUUUUAAAUGCUGUUCGUUUCUUUUCCUCUCCACUCUACUCCACUCAUGUGUUUUGCAUUUAGGCAUCAUAACUGUUACUUACAUUCAAGAUUGUCCAUAAUUAGACGUAAUGCCACUUGUUUAACAUUACUUCUCUUUCCAGCACAUAUUAUCUACUCCAUUGAGGAAUUUUUUUCAUUAUUUCAUACAAUUCCCAUUUCUGCUGCUAACUUGUAUUCAUAUUGUUACUCAGAAUAUAUCUAUAUUGCCUUGUCCUCUUACUUCUGCUCUUUUAAGUUCUGUUGUCCUUCCCAGACACAAUCCCUGCUUUUCUAUUCCUCCUUUAAACACUUAGUCUUCUUCAUUUAUGACUUCUCAUAGUUGCUGAUGUAGCUAUAGUAUGCACUUUACC
rnacentral:lncRNA from 1 species